rfam:Triticum aestivum genome assembly, contig: Triticum_aestivum_CS42_TGACv1_scaffold_177813_2DS
UACAUAUUACCUUGGCCCCAAAUUAAUUGUCUUAGAUUUGUCUAGAUACGGAUGUACCUAAUACUUAAAUGUAUCUAGAUACAUUCGUAUCUAGACAAGUCUAAGACAAUUAAUUCGGGAUAAGGGGAGUAUAUA